AGGUGAAUUUCUUUCUUCUCAAAUUCUUUGUUCACGGAUAUGCCACCAGCACCUAAAGUUCAUAAUAUGUUUUCAUUCUUUGCCUACACAGGUGAGGUGCGACUUUGAUAGGAACUCGGUUAUUAUUCUGCUUUGGUGAAGGCUGCUAUAUCAAAGGCUGUGAAUCCUGCUGAGCCCAUCAAUCCCGUCGAGCCAGUCCAAAAUAUUGACCGGGUGACGCCUUAUCAUGUGACUGUGAUUGGAUGAAAACUUGAAAUUUGAGUUCAAUAGAGUUAAGCAUGAAAUUCAAUGAUCUUUUA